UACGUAGGUGACAAGCGUUGUCCGGAUUUACUGGGCGUAAAGCGUGCGUAGGCGGUGCCUCAAGUUUGGUGUGAAAUCUCCCGGCUCAACCGGGAGGGUGCGCCGAAAACUGAGGUGCUCGAGUGUGGGAGAGGUAAGCGGAAUUCCUGGUGUAGCGGUGAAAUGCGUAGAUAUCAGGAGGAACACCGGCGGCGAAGGCGGUGGUCUGGGCCGGCACUGACGCUGAGGAGCGAAAGCGUGGGUAGCAAACAGG
rnacentral:rRNA from 1 species